UCCAGACUCCUACGGGAGGCAGCAGUGAGGAAUAUCGGUCAAUGGCCGCAGGGCUGAACCAGCCAAGUCGCGUGAGGGAUGACGGUCCUAUGGAUUGUAAACCUCUUUUGUCAGGGAGCAAAGGGCGCCACGUGUGGCGUUUUGCGAGUACCUGAAGAAAAAGCAUCGGCUAACUCCGUGCCAGCAGCCGCGGUAAUACGGAGGAUGCGAGCGCUAUCCGGAUUUAUUGGGUUUAAAGGGUGCGUAGGCGGGCUUUUAAGUCAGCGGUAAAAAUUCGGGGCUCAACCCCGUCCGGCCGUUGAAACUGGCGUUCUUGAGUGGGCGAGAAGUAUGCGGAAUGCGUGGUGUAGCGGUGAAAUGCAUAGAUAUCACGCAGAACUCCGAUUGCGAAGGCAGCAUACCGGCGCCCAACUGACGCUGAAGCACGAAAGCGUGGGUAUCGAACAGGAUUAGAUACCCUCGUAGG
rnacentral:rRNA from 1 species